UUGCAGUUAAAAAGCUCGUAGUUGGACUUGUGUGCGCUGUCCGCGGGUGGCCUGCGCCCAAAAGGGCGUUUCGGUUCGGCCCCGGUGGCGCCUUGAAAUCUGCAGCUGGGGGGACGUUGGCCUUAACUGGUCGGCGACCGCACGCCGGCUGCUCGGUUACUGUGAGAAAAUUAGAGUGUUCAAGGCAGGCAUUGGGUGCAAUUGAAUACAUUAGCAUGGAAUAAUAAAAUAUGGCUCCUGCCGUAUUUUGUUGGUUUUGACUGGUGGGAGUAAUGAUUGAUAGGGACGGUUGGGGGUGCUAGUAUUGAGCGGCCAGAGGUGAAAUUCAUGGAUUCGCUCAAGACUAACUUAUGCGAAAGCAUUCACCAAGGACGUCCUCUUUAAUCAGUAACGAAAGUUGGGGGAUCGAAGACGAUCAGAUACCGUCGUAGUCUCAACCAUAAACUAUGUCGACUUGGGAUCGGCGGUAGUUUUUUCAUUAAGACACUGUCGGGACCACGGGAGAAAUCAAAGUGUCUGGACUCUGGGGGAAGUAUGGUCGCAAGGCUGAAACUUGAAGGAAUUGACGGAAGGGCACCACCAGGAGUGGAGCCUGCGGCUUAAUUUGACUCAACACGGGGUAACUUACCAGCUCCAGAGAUGUAGAGGAUUGACAGAUUGAAGCUCUUUCUUGAUCACUUCGGUGGUGGUGCAUGGCCGUUCUUAGUUGGUGGAGUGAUUUGUCUGGUUAAUUCCGUUAACGAACGAGACCUCAGCCUGCUAGUGUAGUCGGCUGGAUUGCCUUUGGCGAUCCGUGAUUUCGACUUCUUAGAGGGACAAUCGACGCGCAGUCGAUGGAAGUUUGAGGCAAUAACAGGUCUGUGAUGCCCUUAGAUGUUCUGGGCCGCACGCGCGCUACACUGCUGGGCUCAGCGAGUUUUACUUGGCCGAGAGGCCCGGUUAAUCUUGUGAAAUCCCAGCGUGCUUGGGCUCGCCUCCUGCAACUGGAGGCGCCAACGAGGAAUUCCUAGUAGACGCAGGUCAUCAACCUGCAUCGAUUACGUCCCUGCCCUUUGUACACACCGCCCGUCGUUCCAUAAGAGUGAGGCAUCCGGUGAAUUCUCGGGAGAGCCUGGGCGUGGCCAGCAAUGGUCUGCUCGGGUUUGAACUUGCAUAAACUUGGUGCCUAUGAUUAGGG
rnacentral:rRNA from 1 species